GGCUAAGGCGAGCACCAUCUUCUCCCCUGCAACCAGCAUGUACUUCUCGUCUGCAGCCCACCAAGGAACACGAGCAGAGGCAGCCAGAGGAUGUGGCUUGUCACUCCUGGUUCUCAGGCUUUCACACUCUAGCUAGAGUCUACAUGAUCCACAAUCAGCUCUCCAGCUUUCAGGCUCCCAAACUACACUGCUGGCUCUCCUGGGUCUUCAGUUCACAGAUGGUAGAUUGUGAAAUUUCUCAGCCUCCAUAACGGAUAAGAAGUAUAAAAAGAAAAGGUACAACAUCUGAGGGGUUUGGGAACCUAUGCUUUAUUUGCCCUGUGCAGCAUCCUUAGCUUUUCACAAGUGAGAAAUGACAAGAGAAUGGUUACCAUCAGCCAGCUACACUCUUGGCAAGCAGGCUGGCCACAGAGCGGCUCAGUCAUAU